UUUCGCAAUGCCCGAAAGGGUGACGAAGCGACGCCGCGUGUGGGAAGAAGGCCUUCGGGUUGUAAACCACUGUCGGGAGUUAGGAAAUGCAGGUACGUUAAUAGCGCACUUGCUUGACUAAGGCUCCAGAGGAAGCCACGGCUAACUCUGUGCCAGCAGCCGCGGUAAUACAGAGGCGGCAAGCGUUGUUCGGAAUUAUUGGGCGUAAAGAGCACGUAGGCGGCCUUGCAAGUCAGUUGUGAAAGCCUUCCGCUUAACGGAAGAACGGCAUCUGAUACUACAGGGCUUGAGUACGGGAGGGGAGAGUGGAACUUCUGGUGGAGCGGUGAAAUGCGUAGAUAUCAGAAGGAACGCCGGCGGCGAAAGCGACUCUCUGGUCCGAAACUGACGCUGAGUGUGCGAAAGCUAGGGGAGCAAACGGGAUUAGAUACCCCGGUAGUCCUAGCCGUAAACGAUGGGCACUAAGUAGAGGGGUUUU
rnacentral:rRNA from 1 species